AUCCAGAUGACGAGUUUCAAAUAGGACGAAACGCGCAUCCUGCAU
rnacentral:hammerhead_ribozyme from 1 species